rnacentral:rRNA from 1 species
UACGUAGGGGGCAAGCGUUGUCCGGAAUCAUUGGGCGUAAAGAGCGCGUAGGCGGUCCGGUAAGUCCGCUCUGAAAGUCCGGGGCUCAACCCCGGGAGGCGGGCGGAUACUGUCGGGCUAGAGUCCGGAAGAGGCGAGUGGAAUUCCUGGUGUAGCGGUGAAAUGCGCAGAUACCAGGAGGAACACCAAUGGCGAAGGCAGCUCGCUGGGACGGUACUGACGCUGAGGCGCGAAAGCGUGGGGAGCAAACAGG